rnacentral:rRNA from 1 species
ACUUGUGGCCAAACUUCCUUCUUAAAGUCUGAUCUCGUCAGGUCUCAGAAGCUAAGCAGGGUUGGGGCCUGGUUAAUGCUUGGAUGGGAGACUGCUGGGAAUAUCAGGCACCACUGGCA